rnacentral:rRNA from 1 species
UACGAAGGGGGCUAGCGUUGCUCGGAAUCACUGGGCGUAAAGCGCACGUAGGCGGAUCUUUAAGUCAGGGGUGAAAUCCCGAGGCUCAACCUCGGAACUGCCUUUGAUACUGGGGAUCUCGAGUCCGGGAGAGGUGAGUGGAACUGCGAGUGUAGAGGUGAAAUUCGUAGAUAUUCGCAAGAACACCAGUGGCGAAGGCGGCUCACUGGCCCGGUACUGACGCUGAGGUGCGAAAGCGUGGGGAGCAAACAGG